UACGGAGGGUGCAAGCAUUAAUCGGAUUUAUUGGGCGUAAAGGGCGCGUAGGCGGAGAUAAUAGUCAGAUGUGGAAUCCUGGGGCUCAACCUCAGAACUGCAUUUGAAACUGUAUCUCUAGAGGAUAGGCGGAGAAAACGGAAUUCCACAAGUAGCGGUGAAAUGCGUAGAUAUGUGGAAGAACACCGGUGGCGAAGGCGGUUUUCUAGCUUAUUCCUGACGCUGAGGCGCGAAAGCAAGGGGAUCAAACAGG
rnacentral:rRNA from 1 species